AUGUCUGUGAGCAUUCUUAGAGUCAUGAAUCAUGACGACAAAUUUAAUUCUGAGAUCAACAUCAUAAAGUAUCCAGUGACAGCUAUAAGAAGUAGUCUUCUUUUAUAAGUCAGUAAAUGUAAAUAAAAAUUGACUAGGAAGUCAUUUAAUCAAAAGGCAGCUCACAAAGAAGACUACAUAUAUGUAUAUAUGUAUAUAUGUAAGAAGAAAGUGUGACAGAGUAAUGACCAUGGAGGUGAGGGAUAAGAUGAAAUGAGCAGAAGCAGGCAGAAUACAUAGAUAAGCGAACGGAACAUCAAUCUCUUUAUAACCUCUUCUGUCUAUACUUCAAGAAUGGAUAUCCUGCAAGUCGGCUUCGUAGAGUCUCCCUUGAAAGUGGACCUCAUGAUCUAGCCUUUAUGUCCGUGGAUUGACACUGUGAUGGAUUCCCCCCAAGUUCAUUUAGAUAUUCUCUCUUAUUCAUAAAUGUCACGGUCAGCUCUGUUCUUAUAGAUACCAGAAUGGAUACCCCUAAGCUGAUGUAUAUACACCCUUCCUCGGUUGUGAGAUUCCUGCUCUGGUGGUUGUAGUCAUAAGAUAUACAUCGUUGCGUACACCUUGGUUGUGGGCACGCACACUACUGUUGAAUUACCACCUUGUCCAAGUGGAUGGAUGCCCUCAAUGGGAUUGGCACUUUCUCCAUUGCUCCUGCACUCUGUUAUCAGCACUUCGGGUUCAUAAUGUACACACAGCAAUGGAUUUUCUGCAGCUGAUUUUCUAUAUUCUGUUUUCUUCGGGUAAGCAGAAACAGAUGCCUUCCUCACUGGUCACCAGGUUCAAGGUCCCUCAUAUGUGUCAGGUGCAUAGUCACCAACAAAGGCCAACUUCACAUCAAUGGGUGGAUCGUACCUCGGCCUAAGCUCCAGGAUUGAUUGUGCUGUUAGAGUCACAGCUACAACCGGCUCAGGGAACCCAGUGGAAGAGGAGGUGGAGUGUGAGAGCCAAUUGGAAUGGAAGACAGUGAGGAAACAAGGCCUUCGAGACACAAGAGGACUGCUGAGCUCACAAAGACUGAGGCAGCACCCUCAGGACCUGCACAGGUCUAAGCUUGAUGCGAUCUGAGUACUGAGAGGGCAACUGGACACAAUUCUAUAUUGAUAACCCAGAAGCUUUCUCCAGUUGAUAAACUCUUUCAAAGGAAAAACUUGUUUUCUACCAUGGAGUGACACUGGAUAUAGAA
ensembl:processed_transcript Rian RNA imprinted and accumulated in nucleus